UACGUAGGGCGCAAGCGUUGUCCGGAUUUACUGGGCGUAAAGAGCGCGCAGGCGGUCGUUCAAGUCGAGUGUGAAAGCCCCCGGCUCAACUGGGGAGGGUCACUCGAUACUGAUCGACUCGAAGGCAGGAGAGGGAAGUGGAAUUCCCGGUGUAGUGGUGAAAUGCGUAGAUAUCGGGAGGAACACCAGUGGCGAAGGCGACUUCCUGGCCUGUUCUUGACGCUGAGGCGCGAAAGCUAGGGGAGCAAACGGGG
rnacentral:rRNA from 1 species